UUUCAAAAUUGUCUUUCCUCGUGCCUGACUUUUGAAUGCUACAGAGGGCCCCUGGAGUAUCCAAAAGAGAGGUAAACUGGAUUAUUUGACAUAUUUAGUUACAUGGGAUUGCCAAUCUUCUUUAGGUUAUAUAGGUUAUAUUUUGAUAAAUAUUCUAUAGGUUAUAUUUUGAUAAAUGAUACUAAUAUAUGUUCCAAAAUUGUAUGAGAUUUCUAAUAUUCUAAUGUCUGAGUAUAUGCUAUCAGAAUUAAGGUUUUUAUGUUAAGUUAUUGUAAACCACAGAGAUUAUCAAACUUCUUUGUCAACUGUGUUUCUGACUAUAACUACCCUGGACAUUUUGUUAUUCAAAGACAAUUGUCUUGUUUAGAUCCUUUUCAAGAGAUAGUUUAUAAGAAGCUACAGAACUGUGACAGGUGCUCUCAAAUGCAGUUUUCCAAAUAACUUUGGAGAUCAUGACAUUGAAAUAAAGUAAAACAUACAAGACUCAUGAAGAGCUAAAAUGUUCACAAAUAUCAAGCAGAACAAGGGUUAACUAAAUGGACUGAACUAAUAGAAAACUGAAAUAAUUUUUUUUUACUUAUGCUUGGACCAUUGCUGAUUCUUGUUUUGUUUUUCAGAGUCAAGGAAACUUAUUUUGAGCUAUUUAUAACCUUUAAUAAUUGGGUAAGGUAUACUCCUGUGAACAAAAUUUGGAGCACAUUUGGUCUCUCUCUCUCUCUGCCUGGCUUCUCUAGAAUUUCAAAACUAGCUGUGAGUAUUCUUAACUUAUGACAAUAUAGUUGUUUGCAUCAGUGCAAUAAGAAUUCAUUUUUCUUUUGCAACAGGAUGCAACUGGAAAAACUUGUUGUUUCACCAAGGCUUUGACUGGAAGGGUACAUUUCCCUUUAAGGAGUUAAGCUUGACUUGCAGAGCUGAUAAAAGCCUCUUGGAAAAACUGGCCUUAUACCUUGUUACACAGUCCCCAAACAAGGUUCCUAACCAGCAGUGAGUAAAGAAUGUCACUUUCCAACAGGCCCAGGAAUCACGUGCUCUUGGGACCUCAAGAAGAGAGGAGUUUACCAACUCACAGGCCAUCAAACUCCAAACCAUCACGCAACCAGACUGGAGCCUCAAACCAUAACCUUUUUUGCCAGGAACCCUUUCAUAGGCCCCUGAGGGAGAUCAGACUGCUGUUUUCUGAAAACAGUACCCUCUGUCAGCAGGAAGCAGUUAAGAUUGGUCUUCAUCCUUAUCUUUAUUCUAACGGCAGUUAGAUGUACUUCUUUAGGUGCAAAAUGAUAGAUGCAGGAGGCAGAUGAGGGAACCUGCCCAGGGCAUUGUAUGUGUAUGCCUGCAAUGGACUAGGGACCCACCUGCACACUGGAAGAGUGGGGUGGAGCCACUGGAACAUUUACACUUUGUGCAGAAGGGAGGAGCCUGGCAUCUUCAGUUCCUGUGUGGUUGUCUGGUGUUCAAGAUUCCCUCUUGCUUUGCUGAGAGUUGUUUUUCCUUUUCACCCAAUAAAUUCUGCUGCUUAUCCAUCA